UUUAACUAUAAGAAUGCCUUUUCUGAUUGUUAUGAUUUGUAAAUGCUAUAGAGACUUGGUAUGAAAUCCUAAUUAUUGAUUUUGUAGAUGUUCAUCAAUGCUUUUGAUAAAGCUGCCGACUUGGAUGUUCUAGAUCACCCAAUUCCGAACUUCAUCUACUACAUGGUGUCCUGAAGAGUACUAGGAAGAAUGGCGAAAAGUUGAAAAAAUGGAGAAACUUUAGCAGGUUAAGGAACACUGGGAGCUGCAGUGUCGCCUCUUCACCGG